GUACUUGCUUCAGCAACACAUAUACUAAAAUUGGAAUGAUACAAAGAUUAGCAUGCCCCUGUGCAAGGAUGACUCCCAAAUUCAUGAAGCAUUCCAUUUUUUC
ensembl:snRNA U6 U6 spliceosomal RNA